GCUGUAGCUCAGUGGUAGAGCAUCUGUCUUGCACGCAGAAGGUCCCAGGUUCAAUCUCUGCCAUCUCCA